rnacentral:pre_miRNA from 1 species
UUUUUAGCAUAAGUAUAUCCCGUGUCAUACAUGGGAUAUACUUAUGCUAAAA